UACAGAGACUGCAAGCGUUAUUCGGAUUCACUGGGCGUAAAGGGUGCGCAGGCGGCCGAGUGUGUGAGGCGUGAAAGCCCGAUGCUUAACAUCGGAAUUGCACCUCAAACUACACGGCUAGAGCAUUGGAGAGGGUAGCAGAAUUCAUGGUGUAGCGGUGAAAUGCGUAGAGAUCAGGAAGAACACCGGUGGCGAAAGCGCUCUGCUGGAGCCUUAACUGACACUGAGGGACGAAAGCUAGGGGAGCGAAUGGG
rnacentral:rRNA from 1 species